GGACGAACGCUGGCGGCGUGCCUAAUACAUGCAAGUCGAACGGUCUUUCUAUGGAAGCUUGCUUCCACUGAGAAGAUAGUGGCGAACGGGUGAGUAACACGUGGGUAACCUGCCCAUAAGAGGGGGAUAACAUCCGGAAACGGGUGCUAAUACCGCAUAGUUUUCUUGAUCGCAUGAUCGGGAAAGGAAAGACGGCCUUUGUGCUGUCGCUUAUGGAUGGACCCGCGGCGUAUUAGUUAGUUGGUGAGGUAACGGCUCACCAAGACGAUGAUACGUAGCCGGCCUGAGAGGGUGAUCGGCCACAUUGGGACUGAGACACGGCCCAAACUCCUACGGGAGGCAGCAGUAGGGAAUCUUCCGCAAUGGACGAAAGUCUGACGGAGCAACGCCGCGUGAGUGAAAGAAGGUUUUCGGAUCGUAAAACUCUGUUGUCAGAGAAGAACAAGUUGGAGAGUAACUGCUCCAGCCUUGACGGUAUCUGACCAGAAAGCCACGGCUAACUACGUGCCAGCCGCCGC
rnacentral:rRNA from 1 species